rfam:Phanerochaete carnosa HHB-10118-sp unplaced genomic scaffold PHACAscaffold_4, whole genome shotgun sequence.
GGCCGCCUGGCGAAAUGGCAUCGCGUCUGACUACGACCAAGCGGAUGAACCGUUGGUAUAAAUCAGGAGAUUGCAGGUUCGACCCCUGCGGUGGUCA